UCUCUCUCUCUUUUAUGUUUCAACAGAGUCUGAAACCCUAAAUGCUGUCACAUGGAAUACCCCAAAAUAUUGAAGACAACAGCUUUCUAAUAUCUGAUCCCACAAUUGAUCUCAGAUUCGUUCGGUCUCCCAAUCAUUAUUUUGUGUUUUUUUGGGUGUUGAAACUUCGCUUCCUCCAUCAUCGAAGUCUCUCUCAUCGAAGUAUUCCCUUUGAUUCGUUCCACACCCGGCAGUUCUUACAGGAAGAUGUUGAAGAUGAACAUGAUGAAGGCGACUCAAGGGUAUUGGUCAAACCAGAUCAAUAACUAAAGACAAUCAAAUCAACAGCCUGCUCACCAAAUUCAUCAUCCAAGAAAAUUCAAUCUUCAUCUACGAUAAUCUGUCUUCAAGGCAUUGAAGGAGGUGCUCUAAAGCCUACUGAUGUGGAGACCCUAUGGGUUCAUGUAACUUGUGCUUGGUUUAGAUCAGAAGUUUGCUUUGCGAGUGAUGAGAAAAGGAGCCUGCACUCGGAAUUUUAAGUAUCCCCUCAAACUCAUUUGUAAAGGUACAUUGUUUUUAAUUAUUGCACAGAGCAAAAAAUCAUAUUACAUCGUAUUACAUUAUAUUACAUCACUUUAUAUCAUAUUACAUCGCAUUACAUCAUUGAUUCGUAUGGUUUCUUAAGCAUACUUUAAAUUGGUCUUUUUUCCCUUUUUUUGGAAGUAGUUGUAGCUAUUUAGUUUUACACACUAACUGUUGAUUGAAUGUGCGAAGUGGACAACCGAACGUUGUGUUGUAUGCCGUUGGACAAAAAAAAAUUUACAUUCCUAGAAUUAUUAUGAUACCUUCAGACAAAAAAAAAAUCCCUUCAAGUUGUAGAGAAGGCAAUUUCCACUAUGUUUAUGCUUUGCAAUGACUAUAAACAAAAGCCAAGGACAAUCACUAUCUCGAGUUGGUUUGUACUUAAAGCAACCUGUAUUCACCCAUGGACAAAAAUUAUGUUGCACUUUCGAGAGUAAAGAGUAGAGCCGGAGCAAAACUACUAAUUUUAGACAAAGAAGGGAAUGUUACAAAUCAAACGACAAAUGUUGUUUACAAGGAAUUUUUUAGAGACUUGUGAUUAGUUUUUAUUUCUUUUAUUUGUAAUUUAUAUUUUUUUGGUUUUUAAUUGUUGAAUGAAAAUGUUGUUUAAUUC